AAGAAAGCUGGCUAACCCUCCCACCCCUUGUUUAACUUCUCCAGCCCAUCCCACAUCUUUGUAGAGUGAAGGUAAGUGUACCCUAUUUAGUAAAAUGCAUCAGGUCCCUAAACUCAAGCAGACACAAUGUACUCCACAGGUCCACAGCACAUACCAUAGUUUGAUGUUCCAGAGAUAUGAUUUUUGAGUUUAUAUUAGUAGUGUGAUCAGUAAACCAAGGUUUUCUGUCUUUCCAAGAGACUGCGGUUAAUAUUCAGAAAGAGGCGCCGAGAACUGAAGGCUUUCCUGACUUGACACUGAAUAAUAACGAAGGCCUGUGUGCUUUGCAGCAGCCUCCACGUCACCCUCUUCCAGGGCUCCGUCAGAGGACUAACGAUAUGCCACAAGAUGAUUGGCAGCAAGACACACCCAGUGAUGAAGGGAUGUGCUCUCCUUAAAUCACAGCCUAUUCAUCAGGUACUCCUGAGUGCUGUGUUAAGAAAUCCUGCCUACAAAGUUCCACUGAGGCUGAUAUAAAGAUGACUGUGAGAAACUGGCUGCGGCUGUCUGAGCAGAGACAGAAAUGGAGGCGGCAAAGGCGGAACAAGCAAGCAUCUUAAGU